UCAGGCGCUUGUGAAGGUGUUGCUGCUCCUCUCUCUAUGAAUGAAGAUUGAACUUCAUCCCAGACUGCAACUUCUUUCUUCUGUCCAAAUUUGUGAGCCGCACUAGGACCACACACGGCUGUGGGUCCGACCCGGACCUGCACAUUUCGAUCCAGUGUGCCCGCUCCACACUCAACAGGCCCGACUACAACUCCAGCCCCAGGAAUCCAAUAAGGUCUUCACCUUCCUCGCGUUCCGGAAGACCCACGAGCUAGUAUUUGAUCUGAAGAUGAAGUUUCAAAAUCAACAGAUGAAGGGCUUAUGCCUGAACCAUUGACUCUCCUGCUCCUCGGAUGCUGCCUGACCCGCAGUUUUCGACUCUGAUUCUCCAGCAUUUGUGAGUCACUCAAUCCAUCGGGACUGCAACAAUUUUCGACUGU